rnacentral:sRNA from 1 species
UGAGUUCCGUACCGCGAUUGAGGAUGAA